rnacentral:rRNA from 1 species
UACGUAGGGGGGCAAGCGUUGUCCGGAUUUAUUGGGCGUAAAGAGCGUGUAGGCGGUCAGGUAGGUCCGUUGUGAAAACUCGAGGCUCAACCUCGAGACGCCGAUGGAAACCAUCUGACUAGAGUCCGGAAGAGGAGAGUGGAAUUCCUGGUGUAGCGGUGAAAAUGCGCAGAUAUCAGGAAGAAACACCCGUGGCUAAGGCGGCUCUCUAG